rnacentral:rRNA from 1 species
UACGUAGGGUCCGAGCGUUGUCCGGAAUUAUUGGGCGUAAAGGGCUCGUAGGCGGUUUGUCACGUCGGGAGUGAAAACUCAGGGCUCAACCCUGAGCGUGCUUCCGAUACGGGCAGACUAGAGGUAUGCAGGGGAGAACGGAAUUCCUGGUGUAGCGGUGGAAUGCGCAGAUAUCAGGAGGAACACCGGUGGCGAAGGCGGUUCUCUGGGCAUUACCUGACGCUGAGGAGCGAAGGCGUGGGGAGCGAACAGG